rnacentral:rRNA from 1 species
CGAAGGGGGCUAGCGUUGCUCGGAAUCACUGGGCGUAAAGCGCACGUAGGCGGCUUUCUAAGUCAGGGGUGAAAUCCUGGAGCUCAACUCCAGAACUGCCUUUGAUACUGGAGAGCUUGAGUCCGGGAGAGGUGAGUGGAACUCCGAGUGUAGAGGUGAAAUUCGUAGAUAUUCGGAAGAACACCAGUGGCGAAGGCGGCUCACUGGCCCGGUACUGACGCUGAUGUGCGAAAGCGUGGGGAGCAAACAGGAUUAGAUACCCUGGUAGUCCACGCCGUAAACGAUGGAUGCUAGCCGUUGGCGGGUUUACUCGUCAGUGGCGCAGCUAACGCAUUAAGCAUCCCGCCUGGGGAGUACGGUCGCAAGAUUA